AGGAGCUUGCUCUUGUGGAUCAGUGGCGAACGGGUGAGUAACACGUGAGCAACCUGCCCCUGACUCUGGGAUAAGCGCUGGAAACGGCGUCUAAUACUGGAUAUGUGACGUGACCGCAUGGUCUGCGUUUGGAAAGAUUUUUCGGUUGGGGAUGGGCUCGCGGCCUAUCAGCUUGUUGGUGAGGUAAUGGCUCACCAAGGCGUCGACGGGUAGCCGGCCUGAGAGGGUGACCGGCCACACUGGGACUGAGACACGGCCCAGACUCCUACGGGAGGCAGCAGUGGGGAAUAUUGCACAAUGGGCGAAAGCCUGAUGCAGCAACGCCGCGUGAGGGAUGACGGCCUUCGGGUUGUAAACCUCUUUUAGCAGGGAAGAAGCGAAAGUGACGGUACCUGCAGAAAAAGCGCCGGCUAACUACGUGCCAGCAGCCGCGGUAAUACGUAGGGCGCAAGCGUUAUCCGGAAUUAUUGGGCGUAAAGAGCUCGUAGGCGGUUUGUCGCGUCUGCUGUGAAAUCCCGAGGCUCAACCUCGGGCCUGCAGUGGGUACGGGCAGACUAGAGUGCGGUAGGGGAGAUUGGAAUUCCUGGUGUAGCGGUGGAAUGCGCAGAUAUCAGGAGGAACACCGAUGGCGAAGGCAGAUCUCUGGGCCGUAACUGACGCUGAGGAGCGAAAGGGUGGGGAGCAAACAGGCUUAGAUACCCUGGUAGUCCACCCCGUAAACGUUGGGAACUAGUUGUGGGGUCCAUUCCACGGAUUCCGUGACGCAGCUAACGCAUUAAGUUCCCCGCCUGGGGAGUACGGCCGCAAGGCUAAAACUCAAAGGAAUUGACGGGGACCCGCACAAGCGGCGGAGCAUGCGGAUUAAUUCGAUGCAACGCGAAGAACCUUACCAAGGCUUGACAUAUACGAGAACGGGCCAGAAAUGGUCAACUCUUUGGACACUCGUAAACAGGUGGUGCAUGGUUGUCGUCAGCUCGUGUCGUGAGAUGUUGGGUUAAGUCCCGCAACGAGCGCAACCCUCGUUCUAUGUUGCCAGCACGUAAUGGUGGGAACUCAUGGGAUACUGCCGGGGUCAACUCGGAGGAAGGUGGGGAUGACGUCAAAUCAUCAUGCCCCUUAUGUCUUGGGCUUCACGCAUGCUACAAUGGCCGGUACAAAGGGCUGCAAUACCGUGAGGUGGAGCGAAUCCCAAAAAGCCGGUCCCAGUUCGGAUUGAGGUCUGCAACUCGACCUCAUGAAGUCGGAGUCGCUAGUAAUCGCAGAUCAGCAACGCUGCGGUGAAUACGUUCCCGGGUCUUGUACACACCGCCCGUCAAGUCAUGAAAGUCGGUAACACCUGAAGCCGGUGGCCUAA
rnacentral:rRNA from 1 species